UUAUGGGACCUGUGCAAAAAUUCAAGCUUGAUCUAUGACCUAUAAUUAAAUCAUAAACCAAAUAUCAAAUCAAUAUCCUCAAGCAUGAUGUAAAACUUACUAUUAGUAUAAAUUAAAACGUACUAUUAAAGGACCAUAACUCUGGGAAUAAAAAUCAUUUGGUCGGAACACAAUUUAGACGUGACAUGUAAAUUGUAAUGAUAAAACUAUACAUAUACCAAAUAUCAAAAUAAAAUAUUCAAGGAUGAUGAAAAAAAUUGGAAAAUUGACUUUCCAGGCUGACAGAUUGGACAGACAGAGUGGAAACCUAUUGUUCCCUUUGGCAUUUCUUGUAGGGGACUAGCAAGUUACAUAUGCAUACAUUUUCAACAAUAUAAUAUGAUUAAUAAUAUUCUAAAAAAGUUUUGAAAGUUUUUCUUUGAUGACUUGGUGGUUCUCUUGGCUAAAUUCUGUCUUUCCUAAUGAAUAAAAAAUGGAAUUUAUGUGUACACUAUCAUUGUACGGUACAUUUGCUGAAAGCAUCCAACUGGUUAGUCCCUUAGAAGUCUUUUUUAAAUAUUUUAUGUCCACUUUGGUCUUCCAGACUCGUGUGACUUCGGCAUAGUCACAGUGUGUUUUGGAAAUUGCAAUACACACCACAUCUUUGUUCCUGAAAGUGACACCAUUUGCUGUUUUGAAUUCCUACUCGGUUCUCUUUGAUGACACUGAAGACAUGGUGCCUGAUGAAGUUGGAGAAACAACUGGUGUGAUUGCAGGUGAAACAUUAGGUGAAACAGCAGGUGAAACAGCAGGUGUGACGGCAGGUGACACAAUAGGUGUGACGGCAGGUGACACAAUAGGUGUGACGGCAGGUGACACAAUAGGUGUGACGGCAGGUGAAACAACAGGUGUGUUGAUAGGUGAAACUACUGGUGAGAUGGAAGGUGAAACAGUUUCUGGUCCAGUUGACACAG